CCUACGGGUGGCAGCAGUGAGGAAUAUUGGUCAAUGGACGAGAGUCUGAACCAGCCAAGUAGCGUGAAGGAUGACUGCCCUAUGGGUUGUAAACUUCUUUUAUAUGGGAAUAAAACGUUCCACGUGUGGGAUUUUGUAUGUACCAUAUGAAUAAGGAACGGCUAACUCCGUGCCAGCAGCCGCGGUAAUACGGAGGAUCCGAGCGUUAUCCGGAUUUAUUGGGUUUAAAGGGAGCGUAGGUGGAUUGUUAAGUCAGUUGUGAAAGUUUGCGGCUCAACCGUAAAAUUGCAGGUGAAACUGGCAGUCUUGAGUACAGUAGAGGUGGGCGGAAUUCGUGGUGUAGCGGUGAAAUGCUUAGAUAUCACGAAGAACUCCGAUUGCGAAGGCAGUUCACUGGACUGCAACUGACACUGAGGCUCGAAAGUGUGGGUAUCAAACAGGAUUAGAUACCCCAGUAGUC
rnacentral:rRNA from 1 species